AUUGAACGCUGGCGGCAGGCCUAACACAUGCAAGUCGAACGAGUGGCGGACGGGCGAGUAAUGUCUGGGAAUCUGCCCGCUGGAGGGGGAUAACUCCUGGAACCGGUAGCUAAUACCGCAUACUACCGGAUGUGCCCAGAUGGCAUUAGCGAGUUGGUGGGGUAAAGACUCAUCUAGGCGACGAGCCCUAGCUGGUCCGAGAGGAUGACCAGCAACACUGGAACUGAGACACGGUCGAGUCUCCUACAAGAGGCAGCAUAGGGGAAUAUGGCACAAUGGGCGCAAGCCUGAAGAAGCAAUGCCGCGUGGAUGAGGAAGGCCUUCGGGUUGUAAAGUACUUUCAGCGGGGAGGCGUUGACCGCAGAAGAAGCGCCGGCUAACUCCGUGCCAGCAGCCGCGGUAAUAC
rnacentral:rRNA from 1 species